UCUGCAAAGAGACCUGGAUAAUUACCCGA
rnacentral:piRNA from 1 species